AUCAGACUUAGCAGCAUCUUCCUGUCCCAAGAGAAGAGGGGAUGGGAGGAUGGCAUGGUUCAGGGCUUAGGGGAGGAUAGGGGAGAAAAAGUGGAAGCAAAGGGAGAGGCCCAGGAAGGAUUUUGUUGCGACAUGUUACCUGGGCUGCACCUGCUGUAUGCAAGAGAAGAGGCUGGGAGUCCCCUCUGCAGGGUGUUCAUGCCCCAUCUCUGUGCCACGAGGAGUUGGGCUGCUGAAGGAUUUUUCCUCUUAGGAUUUAUUUCCCUGGAGACCUCAUGAAGAAUGAUGUGGGUUCUAUAGGGUACAGUGUGAUCUGGGUCCUGCCUAAUCUCCUUUCUAAACUUCAGAAAAUCAUGUGUGCUGACAGCUUUUAAUCACAGUUCAGUAAUGAAUUUAGUUAUAACAAUGAAUAUUUAUUUGGUUAUCAGCAAGUGGCUUAUUGAGUAUAUUUCCAAGUGAAUACAUGGAAAGUGUGAGGCUAAGGCAGAGAAGCAGUAAGUCAUAAUAUUAACCAUUGGUUAUUUAUCAGUGUUGUUAAUAUUAACCAUUGACUGUUUAUUAAUGUUGUUAAUAUUCUUGCAAAUCCAGUCAUUUGAACUCCUGACAACAGAGAUCAUGUCAAAAAGUUCAAGUUUCUGAGUCCUGGAGGCCAGAGAAUGGAGAUAGUCUAUAUUCCUAACCAGAAAUCUCUUCAUCAUCCGUGUAUCACCUAAGGAUGCAAUAUUUUUUAGUGGACAGGAAUAGAAGCUUUGGCAUUUUACUGCCUGGGAAUAAAAUCUGCUUGGGUACUUAUAAAAUGCCUAAUGCCAAAGAAUAAAGUUUAAUUUUGGAAUGAGCUAAAAUUCUUUUUGGAAAUAGCUGCAGUUUACAUAAAUAAAAUAAGUACUUGAAUUCAGUGCAGUGCCCUGGGAGAUGGCAAGCUCUUAAGCACUUUACGCUCUGUGGGAUCCUGAGUACCUUGGAGUUGUGGAGGCAUGUUUAUAAGCAGAUCUGAGUUUUGCCACACUGGAAUUUAUUUAUUCAUUGAACAAAUAUUUAAUACCUACUACAAUUCUUAGCCGUAAGUAUUUGAAAUUUAUGAUAUGAGUUUGACCCGAUUCCUGGUUUGGUUGCCACUGGUGAAAUUCUGAUUUGUUUGUACUCUGUUUUGUCUACUUUG
rnacentral:lncRNA from 1 species